CAUGGGACAGUUCUGCUUAAAGUGUUGCGUGCUUUUAACCUUUUUAGUUGUAGUAACUAUAGCAAAUCAGUAUAAUGGGCGUCAGAAGAGGAAUUCUCAAUAUGAAGACAAUUACAGAAUCCCUGCGCCCCUAGACAAAGAACAACUCGAAGCUUUGAUCGAAGCCGUUGAAGAGCCUCCAUGGACGGUUUUAACUUUUAAUGAAGGAAAAAGGCAUAC